rnacentral:misc_RNA from 1 species
GAUGAAGAACGUAGCGAAAUGCGAUAAGUAAUGUGAAUUGCAGAAUUCAGUGAAUCAUCGAAUCUUUGAACGCACAUUGCGCCCGUCAGUAUUCUGGCGGGCAUGCCUGUUCGAGCGUCAUUACGCCCCUCAAGUCCCCUGUGGACUUGGUGUUGGGGAUCGGCGAGGCUGGUUUUCCAGCACAGCCGUCCCUUAAAUUAAUUGGCGGUCUCGCCGUGGCCCUCCUCUGCGCAGUAGUAAAAUACUCGCAACAGGAGCCCGGCGCGGUCCACUGCCGUAAAACCCCCCAACUUUUUAUAGUUGACCUCGAAUCAGGUAGGACUACCCGCUGAACUUAAGCAUAUCAAUAAGCGGAGGA